CCCUUAGAUGUCCUGGGCCGCACGCGCGUUACACUGAUGCAUUCAACGAGCUUAUAACCUUGGCCGAGAGGCCUGGGCAAUCUUGUUAACGUGCAUCGUGAUAGGGAUAGAUUAUUGAAAUUAUUAAUCUUGAACGAGGAAUUCCUAGUAAACGCAGAUCAUCAAUCUGCAUUGAUUACGUCCCUGCCCUUUGUACACACCGCCCGUCGCACCUACCGAUUGGAUGGUCCGGUGAAGCCUCGGGAUUGUGGUUCUUUCCGCUUUAUUGUGGCGUGACCGCGAGAACUUGUCUAAACCUUAUCAUCUAGAGGAAGGUGAAGUCGUAACA
rnacentral:rRNA from 1 species